rnacentral:rRNA from 1 species
CUACCGGGGUAUCUAAUCCUGUUCGCUACCCACGCUUUCGUUCCUCAGCGUCAGUUACUGCCCAGAGACCCGCCUUCGCCACCGGUGUUCCUCCUGAUAUCUGCGCAUUUCACCGCUACACCAGGAAUUCCAGUCUCCCCUGCAGUACUCAAGUCUGCCCGUAUCGCCUGCAAGCCCGCAGUUGAGCUGCGGGAUUUCACACACGACGCGACAAACCGCCUACGAACUCUUUACGCCCAGUAAUUCCGGACAACGCUCGCACCCUACGUAUUACCGCGGCUGCUGGCAC